GGGUUGUGAGGUUAAGCGACUAAGCGUACACGGUGGAUGCCCUGGCAGUCAGAGGCGAUGAAGGACGUGCUAAUCUGCGAUAAGCGUCGGUAAGGUGAUAUGAACCGUUAUAACCGGCGAUUUCCGAAUGGGGAAACCCAGUGUGUUUCGACACACUAUCAUUAACUGAAUCCAUAGGUUAAUGAGGCGAACCGGGGGAACUGAAACAUCUAAGUACCCCGAGGAAAAGAAAUCAACCGAGAUUCCCCCAGUAGCGGCGAGCGAACGGGGAGGAGCCCAGAGCCUGAAUCAGUGUGUGUGUUAGUGGAAGCGUCUGGAAAGGCGCGCGAUACAGGGUGACAGCCCCGUACACAAAAAUGCACAUGCUGUGAGCUCGAUGAGUAGGGCGGGACACGUGGUAUCCUGUCUGAAUAUGGGGGGACCAUCCUCCAAGGCUAAAUACUCCUGACUGACCGAUAGUGAACCAGUACCGUGAGGGAAAGGCGAAAAGAACCCCGGCGAGGGGAGUGAAAAAGAACCUGAAACCGUGUACGUACAAGCAGUGGGAGCACGCUUAGGCGUGUGACUGCGUACCUUUUGUAUAAUGGGUCAGCGACUUAUAUUCUGUAGCAAGGUUAACCGAAUAGGGGAGCCGAAGGGAAACCGAGUCUUAACUGGGCGUUAAGUUGCAGGGUAUAGACCCGAAACCCGGUGAUCUAGCCAUGGGCAGGUUGAAGGUUGGGUAACACUAACUGGAGGACCGAACCGACUAAUGUUGAAAAAUUAGCGGAUGACUUGUGGCUGGGGGUGAAAGGCCAAUCAAACCGGGAGAUAGCUGGUUCUCCCCGAAAGCUAUUUAGGUAGCGCCUCGUGAAUUCAUCUCCGGGGGUAGAGCACUGUUUCGGCAAGGGGGUCAUCCCGACUUACCAACCCGAUGCAAACUGCGAAUACCGGAGAAUGUUAUCACGGGAGACACACGGCGGGUGCUAACGUCCGUCGUGAAGAGGGAAACAACCCAGACCGCCAGCUAAGGUCCCAAAGUCAUGGUUAAGUGGGAAACGAUGUGGGAAGGCCCAGACAGCCAGGAUGUUGGCUUAGAAGCAGCCAUCAUUUAAAGAAAGCGUAAUAGCUCACUGGUCGAGUCGGCCUGCGCGGAAGAUGUAACGGGGCUAAACCAUGCACCGAAGCUGCGGCAGCGACGCUUAUGCGUUGUUGGGUAGGGGAGCGUUCUGUAAGCCUGUGAAGGUGUACUGUGAGGUAUGCUGGAGGUAUCAGAAGUGCGAAUGCUGACAUAAGUAACGAUAAAGCGGGUGAAAAGCCCGCUCGCCGGAAGACCAAGGGUUCCUGUCCAACGUUAAUCGGGGCAGGGUGAGUCGACCCCUAAGGCGAGGCCGAAAGGCGUAGUCGAUGGGAAACAGGUUAAUAUUCCUGUACUUGGUGUUACUGCGAAGGGGGGACGGAGAAGGCUAUGUUGGCCGGGCGACGGUUGUCCCGGUUUAAGCGUGUAGGCUGGUUUUCCAGGCAAAUCCGGAAAAUCAAGGCUGAGGCGUGAUGACGAGGCACUACGGUGCUGAAGCAACAAAUGCCCUGCUUCCAGGAAAAGCCUCUAAGCAUCAGGUAACAUCAAAUCGUACCCCAAACCGACACAGGUGGUCAGGUAGAGAAUACCAAGGCGCUUGAGAGAACUCGGGUGAAGGAACUAGGCAAAAUGGUGCCGUAACUUCGGGAGAAGGCACGCUGAUAUGUAGGUGAAGUGAUUUACUCAUGGAGCUGAAAUCAGUCGAAGAUACCAGCUGGCUGCAACUGUUUAUUAAAAACACAGCACUGUGCAAACACGAAAGUGGACGUAUACGGUGUGACGCCUGCCCGGUGCCGGAAGGUUAAUUGAUGGGGUUAGCGCAAGCGAAGCUCUUGAUCGAAGCCCCGGUAAACGGCGGCCGUAACUAUAACGGUCCUAAGGUAGCGAAAUUCCUUGUCGGGUAAGUUCCGACCUGCACGAAUGGCGUAAUGAUGGCCAGGCUGUCUCCACCCGAGACUCAGUGAAAUUGAACUCGCUGUGAAGAUGCAGUGUACCCGCGGCAAGACGGAAAGACCCCGUGAACCUUUACUAUAGCUUGACACUGAACAUUGAGCCUUGAUGUGUAGGAUAGGUGGGAGGCUUUGAAGUGUGGACGCCAGUCUGCAUGGAGCCGACCUUGAAAUACCACCCUUUAAUGUUUGAUGUUCUAACGUUGACCCGUAAUCCGGGUUGCGGACAGUGUCUGGUGGGUAGUUUGACUGGGGCGGUCUCCUCCUAAAGAGUAACGGAGGAGCACGAAGGUUGGCUAAUCCUGGUCGGACAUCAGGAGGUUAGUGCAAUGGCAUAAGCCAGCUUGACUGCGAGCGUGACGGCGCGAGCAGGUGCGAAAGCAGGUCAUAGUGAUCCGGUGGUUCUGAAUGGAAGGGCCAUCGCUCAACGGAUAAAAGGUACUCCGGGGAUAACAGGCUGAUACCGCCCAAGAGUUCAUAUCGACGGCGGUGUUUGGCACCUCGAUGUCGGCUCAUCACAUCCUGGGGCUGAAGUAGGUCCCAAGGGUAUGGCUGUUCGCCAUUUAAAGUGGUACGCGAGCUGGGUUUAGAACGUCGUGAGACAGUUCGGUCCCUAUCUGCCGUGGGCGCUGGAGAAUUGAGGGGGGCUGCUCCUAGUACGAGAGGACCGGAGUGGACGCAUCACUGGUGUUCGGGUUGUCAUGCCAAUGGCACUGCCCGGUAGCUAAAUGCGGAAGAGAUAAGUGCUGAAAGCAUCUAAGCACGAAACUUGCCCCGAGAUGAGUUCUCCCUGAC
rnacentral:rRNA from 1 species